CACGCUCUCCAUCUUAUCUCCUUCGAGCCGCACAUCCUUUCCUCUUCACCUUAUCCUCUAUCUCAUGGUCUCACUUUCUCGCUCAUCUCUUUCCAGGGCCUGGCAUGGCAAGGGCACCGGGGUGGUCGCGGCCAUGGCCGGCCUAGCGCUAUCGAGGUGGGCGCGGCCCUAGCCAGCCCCCAUGGCGCAAGCCACGGCUUGGUGAAAGCAUCUAGAUCCUUAAUUCGUGUUUUGGUAAUUAAUGACAACAUUUAUGGACUAACAAAUUUCUUGAGAAGAAAAUGAGUAUAGGUUGGUCCAUGGAUAAAUGAGGAUUUAUUGAUGCCGCAAAGUGUUGUUGAGAUGAAGUUCAAGGCAUGAGCUCAAGGCAAAGAUCCUACACUCGGGAGGCAAGCGCCCACUUGGGGGACCUCGAGGUGCAGCUCCACAGAACCGAGGUGCGACUGCUCCUGCUGUUGUGGAUACCGAAGCUGGGGAAGGGCAGCAGUGCAUAGAGUUUGCUAGUGAUUUAUCUCCAAGUUCAAGGCACAUGUGGUCAUGGCAAAAUUUCCAUCUUAUCUCUUCUCCCUUCCAUUAUAAUUUCUCUUACUUAUCUCAUCUCUCUAUCUUACACCGCAGCUCUCUCUAACAAGGAGAUUAUAGUUUGACGCGGGCAGCAGGGCCAGGGUUGCUAGCAUAUGGCUCGGUGGCUAGCGCACGGGACAGGCGGCUGCACGCGUCGAGGCGGUGAGGUCCUGUGCGGCGCCAUCCUCCCUCCCUGCAUGACACGGCAGCCGGCCAGUCGUGGGCGAGGAGCUGCAAUGCCGUCCUUUCUCCCUGCACGACGGGGAGGCCCUCAUGGACCCGCUGCCAUGCCAGGAGCAAAGCUGAGCUGUGACGGAGGCAUGGCCGUUCGGAGCCGUGACAAUGGUGCGGCACGCGGCGCGUCUCGGUGGGAGCGGAGUGGAGCUGUGAUGGGAGCGGAGCGGAGUGGCGAUAGUGGUGCAUGACACGAUGCGGCAUGCGCGGCCACGCGGUGUUGUGAUGGCAGUGCUGCGCACUGGCUUACAGCGGCUCCGGCAGCUGCUGUGGUGUAUUUUUUUGUUUUUUUAUUCGAUCUGUAGGGAUGGGUGACCCCAUGACCCGUCCAUAAAAAUCUAUUUCUAGGGAUGGGUUAUAUCCUUUGUA